rnacentral:lncRNA from 1 species
UCAUGCAACCAGGUUGAAAAACAAAUAAACGAGCUAAAUAAUUAGCCGCUUUGUUUCCGGAUUGCUUAACUAACUGAAUACAAAUAUUCUGAAAAUUAAAAAUGAAGAUGAUGGUUUCUUGUGCAAUCCAACCUGCAUCUCCUCCGAAAUCAGUAGCUUCACAAUUGACCCUCACAGUAAUUUCAUGGAUAGUACAAUGUUCAGAGGACUCGGUUGGCCUCAUGUUAUGAACAAAUAUAUUUUGUGAGAGGUGAGCACAUGCGAUUUUCACUACUGUUCCAAACGCAACCCAGCUAUCUACCUGCCGGAUACCAGCUAUAGACCUGCCGAAAGUUUUGUUGAUGCGAGUUCUCGGGAUCUCCC